GAUGAACGCUGGCGGCGUGCUUAACACAUGCAAGUCGAGCGGAAAGGCCCAAUCUUGCUUGGGUCCUCGAGUGGCGCACGGGUGAGUAACACGUGGGUGAUCUGCCCUGCACUUCGGGAUAAGCCUGGGAAACUGGGUCUAAUACCGGAUAGGACCACAUUUUGGAUGGUGUGGUGGAAAGUUUUUCGGUGUGGGAUGAGUUGGCGGGCUAUCAGCUUGUUGGUGGGGGAAUGGCCUACCAAGGCGUCGGCGGGUAGGCGGCCUGUGAGGGUGUACGGCCACAUUGGGACUGAGAGACGGCCCAGACGCCUACGGGAGGCAGCAGUGGGGAAUCUUGCAGAAUGGGGGCGAGCCUGAGGAAGCGACGCCGCGUGGGGGAUGACGGCCUUCGGGUUGUAAACGCCGUUCGCUAGGGACGAAGCGUUAUGUGACGGUACCUGGAGAAGAAGCACCGGCUAACUACGUG
rnacentral:rRNA from 1 species